GGGGUUGCUUUGAUGGUAAGAAACCCCCACUUCCAACCGAGAGGUUGUGAGUUCGAGUCUCCCCAAGAGCAAGGUGGAAAGUUCUUGGAGGAAAGGAUGCCGGGGGUCUAAUGGUAAGAAACCCCCACUUCCAACCGAGAGGUUGUGAGUUCGAGUCUCCCCAAGAGCAAGGUGGGAAGUUCUUGGAGGGAAGGAUGUCGGGUUCUAUUUGGAAACAACCUCUCUACCCAAUGGUAGGGGUAAGGUCUGCGUAACACUACCCUCCCUAGACCCCACUAAGUGGGAUUAUACUAGGUUGCUAUUGUUGUUUUAAGGGCGGACAGGAAUACCUACCCCUCUAAAUCAGUCUUCCUCCGCCGGAAUCGA
rnacentral:lncRNA from 1 species